GACGAACGCUGGCGGCGUGCCUAAUACAUGCAAGUCGAGCGCUGAAGGAUGGUACUUGUACCAACUGGAUGAGCAGCGAACGGGUGAGUAACGCGUGGGGAAUCUGCCUUUUAGCGGGGGACAACAUUUGGAGACGAAUGCUAAUACCGCAUAAAAACUUUAAACACAGGUUUUAAGUGUGAAAGAUGCCAUUGCAUCACUCAAAGAUGAUCCCGCGUUGUAAUAGCUAGGUGGUGAGGUAAAGGCCCACCCAGGCGAUGAUACAUAGCCGGCGUGGGAGGGAGGUUGGCCAAAUUGGGACUGAGACCAGGCCCAAAAUCCUUACGGAGGGAGCAGGAGGGAAACUUUGGAAAUGGACGGAAGUCUGACCGAGCAAAGCCGGGUGAGUGAAGAAAGGUUUCGGAUCGUAAAACUCUGUUGGUAGAGAAGAAAGUUGGUGAGAGUGGAAAGCUCAUCAAGUGACGGUAACUACACAGAAAGCAACGGCUAACUACGUG
rnacentral:rRNA from 1 species